AUGGCCAGAUCAUGUUAAAACAUUGGUUCCCGUAUGAUCACUGAAGUUAAGCAACAUUGAGUCUGGUCAGUACCAAGAUGAGUGACUGUUUAGGAAUAUCAGGUGCUGUAAG